rnacentral:lncRNA from 1 species
GAAAGAACUCUUCAAGGACCAAACGGUCCCUUUCCUUCAUACUUCAUAUAAAUAAAUCGAAAACCCCAGAGUAUAUCUUUCCACGGAUCGAAGGAAAAAAGACAGUUCGAUCGAAUAUUGAUUUUUAGAUUCUUUUAUCUGUUAGAAAAAGAGAUAAUCUACUAUUUUUCCUUUUAGAAAAUCUAAAAUUCAAUAAAUAAAUAAAUAGGAGACUGGAAAUGAAAGUCUCUUUCUCGGAUCUAUUCUUCAUCACACUGGUGGAACAAAACAAAAAUACCGGAUGCAACGAUAUUGAAAUAUUUGGUACAUGAAGCCAUGAUCUGAUAGAUAUACAUCGAAAUCAAUCUACAAUCUACUUAAUAUAAUUAAUAUAUAAUAUAGAUGAAAUUAAUCUUUGAUCUAGAAUCAAAGAAAAAUAAUAAAUGGCUCUUAUGGUGUGCCUUGGAAGAAAGGUUUCUCUGUAGAGGAAAGGAAUAACAAAUUAUUCCGAUAAUUUUUCCUAUAGAAAAUCUAGUAACAAGAAGAUUUAAUCGGAAAUAUCGACAAAUUCUUGUGGAGUCCAAAACAAAAAAAUGAAAUAAAAAAAAUCAACUGCUCCAAUUUCAUCUCUAUCGAAUUUUAAUAUCAGAAUAGCGGAUAUAGUCAUGAUUCAAUAGGUCAGGUCCACUUACUUUUUACUUUUUCUUUUGUUGAUUUCUAACCUUUCGAAUCGAUUUGGUUGGUAUAAUGGAAAAUAGGAAUAUUCGGUGAUUCAAGAAGUGACUUUUCAUUAUUCCUAAAUUCAUACUAAUGAAAAUUGACUAAACAAAUGUUCAACUUUAUAACUAAGUAUAAUGAUAAUGUAUUAUCCAGUUAGUUACUUUUUUUAUUACAAAUAAAAAGAAAAUUCUCCCAUCAAAUAUGAAUACUAGAUUGGGGUUUUACAAAGCCCCUUAUCGGAUUUGAACCGAUGACUUACGCCUUACCAUGGCGUUACUCUACCACUGAGUUAAAAGGGCCUUUUUUAUUUAAUUCCGGAAUUAUUCACUAUGUGGAUAAAAUAUCUAUAUGUACUUAUAUUAUAAACAUAAGUAUAUAUGCAUUAAGUACGUGCAGUAGAUACAUAGUGUCUAGUGGCUCAUUGUUGAAUAAUAAAAUGGAUUUACCUAGGAAGUAUAGGAGAAAAUGCAAUGAAUUGUUUCAAGACCGACUCGAAUAGAAAUAAAUUCAAUUGAAAUAAUUAAAAAAAAUACUACUACUAGAUUUCUAAUGUCGAUUCUAAUGAAUAAUUCGUCAAUGACGAAUAAAAAACAAUUCUAUGCAAUUCUGAAGGGGGGAAAGAUCCCUCGGCUAGAAUCAUUUGAUUAUAUUGACAAUUUUAAAAAACGGAUCAUACUAUCAUCAUAGUAUGAUGGCCGUUGGUCAAGCGGGCCCCCAUCGUCUAGUGGUUUAGGACAUCUCUCUUUCAAGGAGGCAGCGGGGAUUCGAAUUCCCCUGGGGGUAGGGUACUACGAAAGGAAAUUGAUCAUGGAUUACCAAUAAGUUGAAAAUUGAUUCUUCCUGGGUCGAUGCCCGAGCGGUUAAUGGGGACGGACUGUAAAUUCGUUGGCAAUAUGUCUACGCUGGUUCAAAUCCAGCUCGGCCCAAUAAUUCGCCAAUCCGCCAUGAGAUGAUAUAACUCCCUUUGUACUUCAGAAAUACCCGAUCCGGAGAUAAAAAAGAAUCAAAUUUUCUGCUAGAUCCCGUAUUUCCCUGGGAUUGUAGUUCAAUUGGUCAGAGCACCGCCCUGUCAAGGCGGAAGCUGCGGGUUCGAGCCCCGUCAGUCCCGACGGAUCCAAUAAAUAUAUCAAAAAAUCUCUCCCUUUUUCUGAAGGGGACCGGGGGAAGAAUUCCAUUGUCAAAGCAAAGGGGAAAUCCUUAUUUCUUUUUUCUUUCCUUUUGGUAGGAGAAAGACAUAUGCGGUUGGAUUAGUACAAUUAUUGGUAGCAUUAUAGUCAGUAUUCCAAGAAAUGCUGGCUUUUUCGAUUGCCCCCGAUGCAUGUAAUGGAAUCGAGUACUAUACUUUUUUGAGGCGCGCAUACACAAAAGGAAUUCCUUUGUUGUCCAAUACAAAAUUGAAUAUAAGAAAAUACUUUCCAGAAAAAACAAAAAAAAAAAAAAACAAUUUCUUUUUCUGGCUACGGAUUUAUGGAACCUGACUUACUAGUUUGAAGUUGCAAAAUAGAUUUCAUGCAAAUUGCACACUGAGCUUUUGGUAUAGGUGUCCCGGGGCUAAUAAUCGACGAAGAAAGGAGGGGGAAGGACAGAUCAACCAAAGAUCCUACUCCUCUUAGAAAGGCGAAUGAAUCAUUUUUCCUAUUUUUCAUUUUGUUUUAAGGCCCCAUCGACGAACGAACAAAUCGGAAAAUAGUCAAUUUGAUGAAUAUUCAUUUUAUACGGUCUCAUCUUUAUCACACUUCUUUGUCUUCCAAGUCAAAAAUAGUUUCGUUCUAAACUCCUUUCUUUUUCCAUUUAGCUUUUAUUGUUUGUUUGGGUUUGUAACUAUGUGACCACUGGAAGUGGAAGAGCUAUUUGAUGAGACUUCAUCAGAUGAUUGUACAAGAAGGAACUAGAUAGAUUAGAGAGAAAAAAAGAACAGAUAAUAAAAAAUGAUAAAUAAAUAAAGGAAUUUUGGGUUAGGUCAGCAAUCCGAGUUUGGGGCGGUAUGGAUAAAAGAACUUCCUAUGUUAUACUAUUCAAUUCUCGACGACGAAUUUAUUUGAUAGUUCAGAUAUUGUUAUUCAUGAUAUUGAUCUGAUUCAAGAUCAUCGAGAGGUAAUAUUCAUUCAUUGAAUUUACAGGCCAAAGAUUUAUCAUCUCUAUGGGAUUAAAUCCCGAGUUAUUGCGAAGUAAAAAACCGAUGAGAUUAUGGAAGUAAAUAUUCUUGCAUUUAUUGCUACUGCACUAUUUAUUCUAGUUCCUACCGCUUUUCUACUUAUCAUUUAUGUAAAAACAGUCAGUCAAAACGAUUAAUUAUUAACUAAUUUGAAUGAAACUUGACUUCUGAGUUCUUAGCCAAAAUUGACGAAAUAAAAUGAAAAAGAUUCCAAUUUCAUGUCUUAAAUGAAAUGAGUGGACUAGAAUCGGCAGUAUUCUAAUAGAUAGAUAGUAUGGUAGAAAGAUUCAUCUAUUUCUUUCUACCAUACUAUUUAUUAGUUAGAUUCUUGUUAUAAAGCUGCCCCCUGGAAUAAAAUAAAGAUAGAGGCUGCAUUUGAUAUGGAUCUAUAUAUCAAUCUACAAUAUUAUCUUGAUAUAUGUGAAUAUCAAUUCCAUAUAUGGGAUUGACAUAGCAUCCAAUUCCAUUUAUUUGCUAUAUCUAUUUGUUCUGAUCAAUCUGAAUUACUCCUAUGUCUUAUAGUUUGAAUUACUAUAUUUUUGAUUUCCAAUAUGAAUCUCAGUAUCUAUUGAGAGAAUCAAAUCAAUGAAGCAAAAGCGAUAGAUAUAGGCAUAUUCAAAAAAUCACGUAGUAAUCUUUUUUUUUUUAACAUUCCUAAGAAGUAAACCAUUGACAGUAGUUCCACGGGCAUCGAAAAGGAAGAGUAAACCUCACUGAUUUUUAAGGCCUGAACCAUGAUAUGAAAUAAGUCGAUAAAGUCUAAAUCCAAUUUCCAAAAUUCGAAAGGUAAAUGCGCAAUAUGUGACUCACCUGACGAUCUUAUUCUAAAUAGUAUCUCGUUAGACAACCACUAUGUUUAUAUCCUUUCUUUCUCAUACAAAGUGCGUAUACACUUAACAAAACCACUUUUUCUUUGAACAGUAAAGAGAGAACCAAAUAAAAAACGGGUCCGGCCCUCCUCAGUAUCACCUAGGAAGAGGCCAUUGAUUGGAAUAGAAAAUUUAGUAAGAAUUAGGUUCGAAUAAAUUUCCUGGGAUCCUUUUCCUUUCGAACUACAAACAUGGGAAUCGUUGAAAUAGCUCUUUGAUUGAAAGAGGCUGAUUCCUAUAAUACAUUACUCCAGUCGAGUCCAAUGGAAUUUCAAAAUGAAGAUAUUUUUAUUUUGUUCCAAACGUGUUGCAGAACCAUCUAGAAAGCAAUUGAUAAUGAUACAGUUUGCUUCCUUAACUCAAUUAGCAGAACCCCUAGAGUCCACUCCUUCCCCACACUACGAGUGAAAGGGAAAAAGUAAAGACUACCAUUAAAGCAGCCCAAGCAAGACUUACUAUAUCCAUAUGAAUUAUGUCCCCUAUCUCUAUAAAUAUAAAGGAAUUGUUCCAUUAUUCCUCACUAAUAAUAGUAGAAUCAAUGGCGCAGAGUCAAAAAGAACGAAGACUAUUAAUAAACCAAUCCAAUAAAUUCGCUCAUUUUAUAAGAAAUUUCUAUAUGAUUUAUAAUCGGGAAAGAUUAAACCCAAGCAAAAUCCGCAGUAACAUCUCAAGGGAAUGUUACUAAUGGAACAUGUAGGAAUAAUAGGUCCUAUUCUUUUUUUGUUGACCCUCAUUUGAAUUGAUUGGAUGCUUGAGCACUGAGAUAUUUUCGUGAGUUCCUCGUAUAUAAUAAAGUAUCUUCCGCCCCCUUCCACAACUAUUUCGAUUUCCUAUCGGGCUCUCCAAGGUCCAGUCAUUAUACAAUGGAUUAAUAAUAGAAAAUUUUGAUUUGUAGUAGAAGGUAAUUGCGAAGUCUUGAUAGCCCCUCGAGCAUUCGAAUAUUUACUUGAAAGCUAAGCCUAAAUAUGCAAUGCAAGGAUAUUUACAAUUUUUUCUAAAAACACCCAGACCAAAACAAGUAUCAACAGUCUGCUUUCUCUGCUUCUGCUGGCGAAUCAUUCGGCGGGUUAUAUCAACAGAAGAAAAAAAGAGAUUUCCAGUUUUUUGUUGAUCAGGCGACACCCGGAUUUGAACUGGGGAAAAAAGGAUUUGCAGUCCUCUGCCUUACCACUCGGCCAUGUCGCCAAAAUGCUACAAAUACAAAAUAGAUGAAAACUUUCCCGGAUUACUGAACUGCUUUUUUAUUGUACUUGCACCUUGAGUUCUGUUUUCCUUAA